UUUCCGUAGGUGAACCAGCGGAAGGAUCAUUAUUGAAUAACCAAGGUGCAAGGGCUUUUGCUGAUACGACUGGUUGCGCACGCCCGGCAGCCCUCACACACAACCACGUCACCCCUCUGUACACCACCCCGUGAGCCCCGCUUCGACUUGUUAGGUGGGGGGAAUACGAUUUCACAAAAACUAUGUAUACAGUGUGAACUGUAUUUUUUGUCUUUGCGAUCACGCAAUCAAUACAACUUUAAACAACGGAUCACUUGCCUCCCGCAUCGCUGAAGAACG
rnacentral:misc_RNA from 1 species